rnacentral:rRNA from 1 species
UACGGGGGGAGCAAGCGUUGUUCGGAUUUACUGGGCGUAAAGGGCGCGUAGGCGGCCAGCACAAGUCAGUUGUGAAAUCUCCGAGCUUAACUCGGAAAGGUCAACUGAUACUGUGCGGCUAGAGUGCGGAAGGGGCAACUGGAAUUCUUGGUGUAGCGGUGAAAUGCGUAGAUAUCAAGAGGAACACCUGCGGCGAAGGCGGGUCUCUGGGCCGAUAUUGACGCUGAGGAGCGAAAGCGUGGGGAGCGAACAGG